AUGUGGGCUCCUGCGGAGUGCAAUUUUUUUGCUUGGUUGAUCUUCCAAAAUCGUGCUUGGACAGUCGAUCGUUUGCUGCGCCAAGGUUGGCCAAACUGUAAUUUGUUCCCUCUCUGCAAGCAAGUGCAAGAAUCUGCUGCUCACCUCCUAUUCCAAUGUAGGUUCACUAUCCGGAUUUGGACCGAAAUUUGCAUUUGGCUUGGCAUCCUUGACUGCCCACCUAUGAUUUGGCGUCAUGAAGACUCAAUUAAAGAUUGGUGGCUUAAGGCGGUUAGUGGGGGAGGUGACCACAGGAAGGUCGUCGCCUCCUUGAUGAUGCUUGUAUCAUGAGAAAUUUGUAAGGAGCGCAACGCAAGAAUUUUUCAGAAUGUCUCCGCAAAAAUCAAAAAGGAGGCCCAUCUUUGGACUUUGGCAGGAGCAAAGCAGCUUGGUAUUGUUAUGUCGCGAGAGUAG
rnacentral:rRNA from 1 species